AGCAGCCGCGGUAAUUCCAGCUCCAGUAGCGUAUAUUAAAGUUGUUGCAGUUAAAAAGCUCGUAGUUGAAUUUCGGGGUUAGUAGGUCGGUCAUGCCACUGGUAUGUACUGGUCUCACUGAUUCCUCCUUCCUGAUGAACCGUAAUGCCAUUAAUUUGGUGUUGCGGGGAGACUGGACUGUUACUUUGAAAAAUUAGAGUGUUUAAAGCAGGCUAACGCUUGAAUACAUUAGCAUGGAAUAAUGAAAUAGGACGUUCGAUCCUAUUUUGUUGGUUUCUAGGAUUGACGUAAUGAUUAAUAGGGAUAGUUGGGGGCAUUAGUAUUCAAUUGUCAGAGGUGAAAUUCUUGGAUUUAUUGAAGACUAACUACUGCGAAAGCAUUUGCCAAGGAUGUUUUCAUUAAUCAAGAACGAAAGUUAGGGGAUCGAAGACGAUCAGAUACCGUCGUAGUCUUAACCAUAAACUAAUGCCGACUAGGGAUCGGAUGAUGUUAAUUUUUAAUGACUCAUUCGGCGCCUUAA
rnacentral:rRNA from 1 species